UUCAGAGGUCCCGAGCGUUGUUCGGAUAUACUGGGCGUAAAGGGAGCGUAGGCGGUUCGGUAUGUCGAAUGUGAAAGCCCACAACUCAACUGUGGAAAUGCAUUCGAAACUGCCGGGCUAGAGUACUGGAGAGGAGAGCGGAAUUCUUGGUGUAGCGGUGAAAUGCGUAGAUAUCAAGAAUAACACCAGUGGCGAAGGCGGCUCUCUGGCCUAGAACUGACGCUGAAGCGCGAAAGCGUGGGUAGCGAACGGGAUUAGAUA
rnacentral:rRNA from 1 species